AUUGAACGCUGGCGGCAGGCCUAACACAUGCAAGUCGAGCGGAUGAAGGGAGCUUGCUCCUGGAUUCAGCGGCGGACGGGUGAGUAAUGCCUAGGAAUCUGCCUGGUAGUGGGGGAUAACGUCCGGAAACGGGCGCUAAUACCGCAUACGUCCUGAGGGAGAAAGUGGGGGAUCUUCGGACCUCACGCUAUCAGAUGAGCCUAGGUCGGAUUAGCUAGUUGGUGGGGUAAAGGCCUACCAAGGCGACGAUCCGUAACUGGUCUGAGAGGAUGAUCAGUCAGGGGGGGGGUGAGGCAGGGGGGAGGGUGGUAGGGGAGGGAGCAGUGGGGAAGGUUGGACGAGGGGGGAAAGCGGGAGCGAGUGAGGGCGGGUGUGUGAAGAAGGUGUUCGGAGGGGGGAGGGGGUUAGGGUGGGAGGAAGGGGAGUGAGUUGAUAGCUGGCUGUUUGGAGGGUACCGGGAGAAUAAGCGCCGGCUAACUUCGUG
rnacentral:rRNA from 1 species